rnacentral:lncRNA from 1 species
CCCUUCAGUAAUUGUAAGAUGUAUUAUCCUAUAGACUUAUAAAAAGACCAAAAUAGACAUCUGUGUAUUUCUGUAUGAUACAAAUAAAGAAAUCAUUUACAUAUUUUUCUCUGUUCUUUUUAACUUUCUUGAAUAUAGGACAGCUUUCUACUUUUCAAUGAUGGGACAAAUGUAGGAAAGUCCCUCAGAUACUCAUACUGAGAUGAUGCUGGGCUACGUAAAUUCAAUCUCUGGGCAAAUUUAUGGAGUUAUCACAAUUGUUAAAAUAUGUAAUGUCUCUGUCAUACAGAGUAGACUCAAGAGUUGUCUGGAAAUGUGUAAUUUUUAUGAUAAUAAUACACAUCUGCCAGCCAAUCUUUAGAGAUCAAGAUAUUCCUAAUGAGAAUAAGGCACCAGGCCUAAAAUAAUAAGCCAAGUUCAUUUUUGUAUUAAGACUCUUUGUAGAAAAGAAAAGAAUAUCCACUCAAUCUAAAUGACAAAGAAAAAGGCAUUUUACAGAGAUAUGAAAUGAAGAGUCAUAUAGAACCCAAGAAGAGAAAUUUGACUUAACAUUAAGAACAGCUAGAAAGAGGGAUUUCUCAACCUUUCCUCGUAUUUUCUUCUGUGCCACAGAUUGUCCACUUUAUGUUUCUCUGAUCUAAUAAGUGGAAGCAAAUCCAUGAACAGCUCUCAAAGUAUAAAGUAGAGCCUCUGUCUCUGUUCACACACUUCCCAAAACUUUCUUGGCCUAAGCUCAACAUUUGUGACAGGGAAUGUUUAGCAUGCAUAACAAGCCAAUCCAACAAGCAGUUCAAAGUUUCCAGAAAGCUGAAUUAGGAAUACUUUUUGAUAUGGCUUUUUACUAUGGCUUAUACAGGGAUGGUGAGAAAUAUAUGCUUUCUCAAGGAUCAGACUCUGUUUCAGGAACUGUUAUGUGUAUGGACAUAAUGAUAUGUUUUGUCAACAAUUCGAGACAUACACAUGGACCUGGAGAGCAGUGCAGCAUUUCUUCAACACUGACUUGCUUCUCUUCAUGA